CUAGAGCCGCCACUGCCUAGGGUUCGCCCCGCCACCGCAUCCUUCCGCGCCGCCUCCUGAUGCCGCCCUCGAUGGCGCUGACACCAAUCCCAUGCCGCUCGAUCGCGCACUGGUACUCUAGGAGGAGAUAUGGGUAGUAGAGAUUGGAGAGAUGGAUGGGGAUGCGAGGAGCUCGGCCACGGGGACUGGGAGUAGGUCAGCCACAUGGUCUGGGAGGAGCUAAGUCGCAAGACAUGAGGAGCUCGGUCAUGGAAAGGAGGGGAGCAGAAACCCGCCUCAUCGCCACCGUCUGCGACCACCAUGCACACCUCUUUCGGGGCCACUGCAGUCAAGCUCUGAUCUCUCUCUCUACCCAACUACGUCCCCAGCUUCACUCUGCCAGUGAAAAUGCAUAUCAUAUCUAUAUACCACUGAGGUGUAGUUGGUGCCUAGCAAGGCGGUGAUAUCCAAACUGAAUAAAGUGCUGACCAUGAAGAACUUGGAGAGGGAGCAACGCACAUCCUGAGUUGGAAAAAAUAAAGCCAUCAGCGUCGAUGACGUGGAGCGGGUGCGCACGAGGAUCUCGAUGUCACCGGCGUUUCCUUGGUUCCAUGGCGAGCGGUGGCCAGGUGUAGAUUGGGAAUCCUCCUCUGCAGGAUCUUCCCGAGCCCCUCAACCUGGACAUUUUCAAAGUAAUAAUCGGUAGAUCGGAACCCGCCGCAUACGUUUCCUUGUCCCAUGCUGAUUUGAAUGCUAGGAACUCUCGCAGCUGUGCCAGGCUUUGUAUCCUCCGCGAUCUGCAGCAGCAGCACCGAAGCAUGAGCAUACCAACCUUGCUAAUCAAUCCAGCAGCCUGCAUGUGCAUGAUAUUCUCUGCCCAGUUCCAAUCCUACUCCCUCACUUGCAACUUAUUUAUUUCUUGGCAUUGGUCAGUGUAGUUAUUUAUUCAUGGAUUGGUCACCUUCCAAUUAUUUGCUUCUAAUUAUUUGUGCGUUUUGUGCUCUAUUCAGAUGCGUGAAGUGAGGCUUGGUCUGAAUGUGCGAGGAGGCUGCGUACAAUGACCCAAUGUGGUCCGACCCCUCCCCGGACCCAGCGCAAAGCGGGAGCUUCAUGCACCGGGCUGCCCUUUUUUCAGAUUUAGUGUUUUUGUGGAGAACCAAAAGUAGCCUUUCCCACUGCCAGAAUUUACCCUUUUUAAAAUAAAACGCUAUUACCAUCACUAAUUCAUGAAGGAUUUUGUGCAAGUGAAGUGGCAGGGCAGGUAACUACCUCCUGAUUAAUCAUUUGUGAUCUGAAUUGUUGAUUGAUCUAUAUUAUUCUUUGAAAUAUGUCAAACUUCAACUUAAUUCCUGAUAUCUCCAGAACCUUGCAGGGUGCUACAUCAGAACCUUGCAACUGAUAUCUUUUCAUACAUCUCUACGUCCACAAAUUGUUUGCUAUGAAUUAUGUUAAUCUGGGUGGUUCUCUUCCAACUUGAUCUGAGAGAGGGAAAUAAACAUUGAAAACUAUUAUCUUGCUUUGUGCCGAAGUACAAGAUCAGGUACUUUCUCAAAUUUUUAUUGUCCUUGUAUGUCUUAGUUUUCAUCUCACAGCAACAUGUUUGUUGAAUGUGCGGCCAUAUGCGGUACAUUAUUAUUGCUUCUCUCAUCCUAGAGAUUAAAGGACAAUCUUCGCAGCUAAAAUCACAAUGGGGGAAGUCGGUAAUACAUGUGCUCACCUGCAUUAAAUCCUAACAUGCAAAUUUAAGAAGGACCGCUGGAAUGCAAGUGAUACAAAACCAAUUCCUAAAAUUUCUUCACAAGAUUUACUCUUCAGUAAUCAUGUAUGACAAGCGGGUCAUUUGCGAGAGCACAAAACAGUACAAGCUUUUCUUAUUAGGCAACGAUGUAUUCUGCAUUGAGUAUCUUCAGCCUUUACACAGUUCAUACACUAAGCUAUACAGUUUUAUCAUUGCCAGUUUUUAUGGUGGUGAAGUGAAUCCAUAUCGUUAGAAUUGUCUUCAGCAGGUAUACACUUUUCCAGAUUGUUUCUACCACAGCCAGGGAAUGUAGGACAUCUCUCAUGAACAAAACAGUACCACUCUCUUCACACAAAUUUAUUACUCCCUCAUGAAACAGGACAUCUCUCUUCUUAACGGGCUAUUUUGUUUUUCCCGUGAUGGUAGCAGUGAGUCAGUCCUCAACUCCAGUGACUCCUACCUGUCCCAACAAUUAGGCUGGGUCUCGAAGAUAAAUCUGAUAUGGGGUCAAUGUAUCUCUUCCUAGGAUUGAUGUAUUACGAUUGGGUUGAUGAUUUUUUUUUUCUAAGAUUUGUCUGUAUGAUUUUUCACAAAUUGGGUUGGAUAUUUCUAUCGAGCUAGGUUUCACACAUUAUGUGUGCGUGGUAAGUUAUUUUGCAAUAUUCGUUCAAAGUGUCGUUGGUUCAGUAAUUUCGACUCACCAAGCAAGUGUUUAGUACUCCUUUCUACCAGGAUUCUAUAUAGUGUGUCAGUUUAUUUUGGUUCUGGCUGAUGUCAGCAUGUGGUGUAUAAACCUCCGCAUGAAAAAUGAACAACAUCUGCUAGGAAAUAAGAACGAAUAUGAGAUUCAGUGCCUUGGUUGGAAUUAGGAGUGUUGUAGUAAUGUGUCGGUCUUUGUUCCAAUGUUAGUUUGGCAGAAAAGUUACUGUGCUGGCCAUGAGUAAUUUGAAGUUACUGUGAUGGCCAUCAGCAAUUUCAAGUCCUCAUUGUCCGUGUCUGCCUCCAUUUCGUGCUUCAUGUACACUACAUCAGAGUUUCAUGUAAGUGCUUCUAAAUCUCGUUUUUGCGCUGGUUUUCCUUGCUAGCAACAGCUUAAGUGUAUGAAAUUGCAAGUUUUGUUUGAGCUAAACUCUGAACAAUCAGAGGUGCAUUGACUUCUAUUAGGAAAAGAAGAGUAUCUAAGAAUGGGAUGACCCAACCACGAAACCAACAAUUUGUAUGUUGAGGGGAAUUAUUCAUAUAGAUGAUGAUGCCCACUGCAAUCUAUUGUUUUACUGGUAUUAAUCUACAUAUCUGCAGAGUUAUUCGGAAGUUCCUUUAAUCACGUGAGUUUUUCAGAAAAAGAGGACAUGUUGUGGGUUAGCCCUUCAUUAGAUGUCUAUUAUCUUAAGUAGUAAAUAAACCAAAAAAAUUACAUUCGCUUUUCUAAAAAUAGGUACUUACAUGAAUUUUAGAUUUAGGCUCCUCUACACUACAUGUUCAUGCAGAGCUUCAUAGAAAGGUAUUUAUGCUGGC